rnacentral:rRNA from 1 species
UGGGGAAUUUUGGACAAUGGGCGAAAGCCUGAUCCAGCAAUGCCGCGUGUGUGAAGAAGGCCUUCGGGUUGUAAAGCACUUUUGUCCGGAAAGAAAUCCUUGGCUCUAAUACAGUCGGGGGAUGACGGUACCGGAAGAAUAAGCACCGGCUAACUACGUGCCAGCAGCCGCGGUAAUACGUAGGGUGCAAGCGUUAAUCGGAAUUACUGGGCGUAAAGCGUGCGCAGGCGGUUUGCUAAGACCGAUGUGAAAUCCCCGGGCUCAACCUGGGAACUGCAUUGGUGACUGGCAGGCUAGAGUAUGGCAGAGGGGGGUAGAAUUCCACGUGUAGCAGUGAAAUGCGUAGGGAUGUGGAGGAAUACCGAUGGCGAAGGCAGCCCCCUGGGCCAAUACUGACGCUCAUGCACGAAAGCGUGGGGAGCAAACAGGAUUAGAUACCCUGGUAGUCCACGCCCUAAAACGAUGUCAACUAGUUGUUGGGGAUUCAUUUCCUUAGUAACGUAGCUAACGCGUGAAGUUGACCGCCUGGGGAGUACGGUCGCAAGAUUAAAACUCAAAUGAAUUGACGGGGUCAUAGCUGUUUCCU